UGGUUUUCAGAAGUGUAGCGUU
rnacentral:miRNA from 1 species